CAUGGGGCGGCCUAGGAAAGUUCGUACUGCCGAAGAGGAGGCUGCGCAUCGCGAAGCUAGACUUGCUGCGAUGCGGGAGAAACAACGGUAACGACGGGCCGAUCCAACCUACUUGGCCAGAGAGGACGAAGCCAAGAGCUGGCGACUACGCGAAGACUAAGAAUACGCCAGCCGAGAGAGAGCCAAGCAUCGACGGUUAUUCCAAGACCCUGCAAUGCGGGAGGCCGAGCACGAGCGAUGCCGAGCCUGCGCGCUUCAACCAGCGAUGCCAAGGCUCGGUUUCAACGCUGUGGAAGCAAAGUUAUUUAGACAUGGCCAUGGCCCUCAAGAAAGAUGCCGAAGCCACAGCAGUUGACCACGGAAGCCAAGACCACAAGCAGUUGUUCCUCCAGCGACCGUGAAAAGGUCCCCUGGGGCACAAGUCUAAUUCCGCGCCACCACCUUUCUUCUGCAGUUUUUCUGCCUACUUAGCCAACUAGAUCAGAUACCAGACGAGAAAUACGGCACCUCAAUAUCCGAGUUCAUCGUGGACAUACGAACACUGAUGGCCCACCCAAAGCCGCCGCAGAUUCUCCCGUGUCGACGCAAUCUCCAUGGCCAGAGUUGACUUCGAAAAAAAUGCCACGCCGCAGCGUUGCGACGCCGACCUUCGGGCCGUCCAGUCCUCUAUGAAGUCAUUAGCGCUGUUCUACGUGCCACUGCCAUUUUAAAUGGCAACUCCUGUAUUUUUUGAUGUCCACUGAUCUCAAUAAAGUUCUCUUCGGCACUGAUUACCUGUGCCAA